AUCCUGGCUCAGGAUGAACGCUAGCUACAGGCUUAACACAUGCAAGUCGAGGGGCAGCAUGAGAUUAGCUUGCUAAUCUGAUGCGACCGGCGCACGGGUGAGUAACGCGUAUCCAACCUUCCCCCUACUCAGGCAUAGCCCGGUGAAAACCGGAUUAACUCCUGAUAGUUUCACUAGAUGGCAUCUGACGGUGAAUAAAGCUCAGCGGUAAGGGAUGGGGAUGCGUCUGAUUAGCUUGUGGCGGGUAACGGCCCACCAAGGCGACGAUCAGUAGGGGUUCUGAGAGGAAGGUCCCCACAUUGGAACUGAGACACGGUCCAAACUCCUACGGGAGGCAGCAGUGAGGAAUAUUGGUCAAUGGGCGCGAGCCUGAACCAGCCAAGUAGCGUGCAAGGAUGACGGCCCUAUGGGUUGUAAACUGCUUUUGUAUGGGAAUAAAGUCAGGGACGUGUCCCUGUUUGCAUGUACCAUAAGAAUAAGGACCGGCUAAUUCCGUGCCAGCCGCUGC
rnacentral:rRNA from 1 species